GAUUACUGGGGCGUAAAGCGUGCGUAGGUGGUCGUUUAAGUCCGUUGUGAAAGCCCUGGGCUCAACCUGGGAACUGCAGUGGAUACUGGGCGACUAGAAUGUGGUAGAGGGUAGCGGAAUUCCUGGUGUAGCAGUGAAAUGCGUAGAGAUCAGGAGGAACAUCCAUGGCGAAGGCAGCUACCUGGACCAACAUUGACACUGAGGCACGAAAGCGUGGGGAGCAAACAGGAUUAGAUACCCUGGUAGUCCACGCCCUACACGAUGCGAACUGGAUGUUGGGUGCA
rnacentral:rRNA from 1 species